UACGGGGGGGGCAAGCGUUGUCCGGAAUUACUGGGCGUAAAGGGCGCGUAGGCGGCUCGCUAAGUCGGGUGUGAAAACUCUGGGCUCAACCCAGAGCCUGCAUUCGAAACUGACGAGCUAGAGUUCUGGAGGGGAAAGCGGAAUUCCUGGUGUAGCGGUGAAAUGCGUAGAUAUCAGGAGGAACACCGGUGGCGAAGGCGGUUUUCUGGACAGAAACUGACGCUGAUGCGCGAAAGCUAGGGGAGCAAACAGG
rnacentral:rRNA from 1 species